CGCGGCCUAUCAGCUUGUUGGUGGGGUAACGGCCUACCAAGGCGAUUACGGGUAGCCGGCCUGAGAGGGUGAUCGGCCACACUGGGACUGAGACACGGCCCAGACUCCUACGGGAGGCAGCAGUGGGGAAUAUUGCACAACGGGCGAAAGCCUGAUGCAGCGACGCCGCGUGGGGGAUGACGGUCUUCGGAUUGUAAACCCCUUUCAGUAGGGACGAAGCGCAAGUGACGGUACCUGCAGAAGAAGCACCGGCUAACUACGUGCCAGCAGCCGCGGUAAUACGUAGGGUGCGAGCGUUGUCCGGAAUUACUGGGCGUAAAGAGCUCGUAGGCGGUUUGUCACGUCGUCUGUGAAAUCCCUCGGCUUAACCGGGGGCGUGCAGGCGAUACGGGCAGACUUGAGUACUACAGGGGAGACUGGAAUUCCUGGUGUAGCGGUGAAAUGCGCAGAUAUCAGGAGGAACACCGGUGGCGAAGGCGGGUCUCUGGGUAGUAACUGACGCUGAGGAGCGAAAGCAUGGGUAGCGAACAGGAUUAGAUACCCUGGUAGUCCAUGCCGUAAACGGUGGGCGCUAGGUGUGGGGUCCUUCCACGGACUCCGUGCCGUAGCUAACGCAUUAAGCGCCCCGCCUGGGGAGUACGG
rnacentral:rRNA from 1 species